GGCUCAGAGUCCAAGGCUGUCUCCCAAGGUCAGGGAGCAGGACUCAGGAGGUGGGAUUCAGGCCAGCUCCAGGACUGCACAGAGAUAACGUCGCCCAGGAGGCCUUGCCAGGCAGGCAUGAGGUGCUGUUGGGAAGACUGAAGCAACCCCAGCCUGGCACUUAGGCCCCCCGACUGCCUAGGGAGCCAGCGAGGGGCCGCCCCGGCAUGCGCUGGCCCCGGGCCCGGCGGGCCGACCUGAGCC